rnacentral:lncRNA from 1 species
UAACUAGGUAUAUAUAUAUAUUUUUUAAAGAUUUUAUUUUUUCCUUUUUCACCCCAAAGCCCUCCGGUACAUAGUUGUAUAUUCUUCGUUGUGGGUCCUUCUAGUUGUGGCGUGUGGGACGCUGCCUCAGCGUGGUUUGAUGAGCAGUGCCAUGUCCGUGCCCAGGAUUCGAACCAACAAAACACUGGGCCUCCUGCAGCAGAGCGCACGAACUUAAUCACUCAGCCACGGGGCCAGCCCCAGAUUAGCAGUCCGAGGAACUGCUUCUGCAUUUUCCCUGAGCGGAUGCCCCUUGUGUUCUGCGUCGUAUUACUUUGCAGAGAGCCCAUUCCUGGAUUUAGCCACCUUGCCGUUAUUGAAAGUCUCACCCAAGUGCUGGAGCUUGUUACGUGAUCAUCCACUGAGAAGAUCGGAAAAUUGAGGAAUUACUUUAACAGCUACAGCGCUUGUUGAAGAAGAGAGUGGAGUCACUGGUGAACAGGGACAGCAUAACUGACCCUAAUUGUUACUAUUUAAAACUUAGCUGUCCCGAUUGAAAGCUCUGAGAUCCAGGAUAUGAGAGCUGUGAUGCAGGUUUUCAGGCACUCGUGGCACAUGGCCAGUGUUCAGAGUAUCAGUGCCGAUGGCUUUUUACAGGGUGUGCUGGAUACAUUUGGUCCUGUAUCUGUGUGAGGUCUGUGGGAGGUGGGCCAGCGAAGCACCAAGUCCAAACCUCAGAAAGCAGAUUUGGCUUUGGUGACUUCUCUUAGAGACUGUUUCAUUAAAAUAUAUAUAUAUCGUUUGUUUAGGGCUUUUAAAAAAAUCCUUCAAGCUUGACUUUUAAGUGUAAAACUUACAACCCUCCCCCCCAAUAUUCUGAAAAAGAAAUAAAAUAUAUGCAAUCUAGUAGUUCAUGGGAUUCUGGAAAGUACACACUUUCAUUGGUGAUAAUAACUCUGCUCUUAAAGGAAUUCUCUUUGAAAAAGAGUUGGGGAGAAAGCCAAUGUUUAGGGAGUUAUAAAUAUGAUAAAUUCUGCCUGAGAAAUUGUUCUGGAAAGAAAGUCAUAGGAACUUGGGGGCCAGCAUGGAAUCACGGUGCCGGUCAGAUGAGAAUGUGAGAGACAGGGGUUGGCUCUCUGGCCUGGUUAGGGUACCACCCCUCUUCUGCUUGAUGUGUUGGGUGAAGCAUCGCCUCUGACCUGGAGCACUAGUGAGGGUCCGAGAUGCAGUGACCCUCCGUCUUCCCUGGGAAUUGCCGAGUCUUCUCCGAGACCCACCCAGUCCUUUGUGGCGUGUAUGGAAGGGUCCCAGGUGAUGCUUUCCCCAUAAGGUGCUACUUUUGUUUUUUCUCAGCAUCAUUGAUGAGACUUCUGGCUGAUAAUUGGUGAACAGACCCGGGAUUCAGGAGGCCUGGACUCAGUGUGCCUUUUUCAUCAACACAAGUGGGUCCUCAACCUGUCUGCUUUGCGGUGGAGGAGCGUGCGGCGGAGGAACACGUGAUCCCCUAAGUAUAAGUAGUUAAAAAUAAAUGAUUACCUCUUUCCCAGAAAAAUGUAAGCUUUGAUUAUUCUCUCCUAAUAGUUUAGAGCACUUCAAAAAUGUCACUUAAUUCAGCAAAUUUACCAAAAUGCAAAAUGUCUUUGCAUAUUAAUAUAAGUCCACAAGAUUGUAACAGUGAGAACUUAGAAAAUACUUCAUAGAUAACUGAAUGCUUUCCACGUAUUUCUUUUGAUUCUCACAAAAACUGUGUUAGGUAGGUUAUUUUGCUUACUUUAUAGAUGAAGAAAUUGAGGUUCACAUUGAUGGAGGAAUUUGCCUAAGUCGCCAGCUACUGUUAAGUGGCAGAGUCAGAAUUUGAACCCAGGUCCUCUGCUUUGAGCACCACACCCUCAGACAGUUGUUCUGUAGGGAAAAUGUUGGAAGUCCUUGAGAAGUUCCAACAGCAUGAAAGAGGACAGGCUUUAGAACAAGACUGUCUAGGUUUGUAACUUUGUUUUGGUUCUUAGUUUCAUAGGAGCUGUAGGUAGAAGGAAUUUAUACCUAAUUCUAUGUUGUACACAUUUAAGCAAAAUGCUUUCCCAUGGUGCUGCUCCACCUCGAGUAUAUGGCAUAGGCUGUCUAUAAAUGAGUUUUUAAAUUAAAUUAUUAUUAUGGUCAUAAUGUUCUCGCCUGAACUGUUACAACAAACUCUCUACUGGCUUCCCAGCCUUCCUGCCCUCCUGGCUCCGGUCUAGUCCACGUGGCAAUAACAAAGGCAUCUUUUUAGGGUUCUAGCCUAUUUAUGUCCUCCUUUCCUCUGUGCACAGAUGUUCUUGCCUAGCAUCCAAAGCCCUUUGAAAUAUGCACAGCUGCCCUUUUAGCCUCAUCUCAUCUAUAAUGCUUAUUCUAGUCAUGUAAUUUGAUACUGAAUUCCCCCUCAAACACUCUCAGAUUAAUUGCCAAGUGCCUUUGCUGGCACCCUCUCUAGCCUGCAUUUCUAACAUCUGUUUGUCCUGCCAAGGUUUUACAGCCAGGUCAAGAUCCUUCUUCUAUAUCAAGCCUUCCCAUAAGACCCCAGGCAGAAACAGUGUCUCCCCUGGAAUCUUUUUUUAUGGUCGUAAAAUAUACAUAACAGAAAAUUUACCAUUUCAACUAUUUUUUUUCAGCUUUAUUGGGAGUAUAAUGGACAAAUAAAAUUGUAAGAUAUGUGAAGUGAUGGAUGUGUUAGUUAGCUCGAUGGGGGGAAGCCUUUCACAAUGUACACAUAUAUCAAAGCACCAUGAUGUACACUUUAAAUAUCUUACAUAUUAAUCGUUUUUAAGUGUACGAUUCAGUGGUAUUAAGCACAUUCACGUUAUUGUGCAACCAUCACCACAUCCAUCUCCAGAACUUUUUCGUCUUCCCAAACUGAAACUGAGGAGUACCCAUUAAAUGAUAACUCCUUACUUCCCCCUCCUCCCAGACUGUGGCAGCUAUCAUUCUACUUUCCAACUCUAAGAAUUUGACUACUCUGGGUACCUCAUAUAAUUGGAAACCGACAAUGUUUGUUCUUUCACGUCUGGCUUAUUUCACUUAGCAUAAUGUGCUCAAGGUUCAUUCAUGUUGUACCAUGUGUCAGAAUUUCUUUCCCUUUUAAGGCUGAAUAAUCC